rnacentral:rRNA from 1 species
AUUGAACGCUGGCGGCAGGCUUAACACAUGCAAGUCGAGCGGUAGCACAGGGGUGCUUGCUCCCUGGGUGACGAGCGGCGGACGGGUGAGUAAUGUCUGGGAAACUGCCUGAUGGAGGGGGAUCACUACUGGAAACGGUAGCUAAUACCGCAUAACGUCGCACGUUCAAAGAGGGGGACCUUCGGGCCCCUUGCCAUCAGAUGUGCACCGGUGGGAUUAGUUAGUAGGUGGGGUAAUGGCUCACCUAGGCGACGAUCUCUAGCGGGUCUGAGAGGGAGACUCAGCAGCCGGGAAGAGAGACACGGUCGAGACUCCGGCGGUGGGCAACAGUGGAGAAUCUUGCACGAUGGGCGCAAGCCUGAUGCAGCCAUGCCGCGUGUAUGAAGAAGGCCUUCGGGUUGUAAAGCGCUUUCAGCGAGGAGGAAGGUAGUUUGCUUAAUACGUUCAUCAAUUGACGUUACUCGCAGAAGAAGCACCGGCUAACUCCGUG